CUGUUUGCCACCACCGCCUCCUGCAGGGCCCACACACUUCACAUUUCCCUUCGGCUGCCGGUCCGCUUCCGGCCUCACGGCGCGCAAGCGCACUCGUAGGAGUGUUUUGACAGCUCCGGGCCUGGAGAAGGAGCAGGUGUCGCGAGAGUGGGCAGCGCGCCGCCUAGCGAGAGCUGGAAUUAUGGCGAACCUGGGAAGUGAGGCUGAGCGGGAGCCCCUCUUGGGCCCGGGAUCACCGGAAAGCAGGUGAGCAGGCGGGUGGGACUAGCUGGGAACAGUGAGUCCACUGUCCGGACCCGAAACCCGGCUGCACAUGCGCAUGCCCAGCAACGCCUUCGGAGCCGCUUAGGACAGGCUCCGGGAUAAUCGCGUGUACUUGGGAAUAGAGGAGAAUCUUGGUGCUUGGAGAACUUGUGUACCUAGAAAGCUGGGCAGGGGGAUGCUUCACAAAGGUCACAGCAGUUUCACAUUGUAGCCCUUGUGCUGUGUGUCUUAAGCAUCUGCCUGAAUCCUGUUAUGGUAAUUCCUUCCUCCUUGAGAAUUUCUUUUUCUUCACUAUUUUUCCUGUUUUGUAUGAAAAAACCUAAGCUGCCUCUUUUACAGCAGACACUGCAUUCUGUUGACCCUGUGUAGCUGUCCACUGUCACAAAAGCCCCAAAUGGUGGUUUUAACCGACACUCAAGAGCUAAACUUGAGUUAGACUUUUCCUAACCUAAUAACUUCUUCAUAUUUUGCAAAUAAACCCACUUAAAAUGACUCACACUUUGCUCAGUAUCACAGGUCCAAAAUAAACACACCUUUAAGCGUUUCAUUAGUAUUUUCAUCCUUGUAAUUCUCAUUUUGAUCCUUAUUCAUGAGCACUAAUUUAGAAAAGUUGGGCUUGUCUUACUGUAGCAAUAUGUAUUUUUACCUUUACGAAGCAGUAAGUAUUAUUUCAUCGAGUCUUUUGUUUGAAGCGCAGUGUGUGUUUUAUUAGGUUCAUCUUUUGAGGGGGAACAGGUGGCACAUGCAUCAUGGUUUGUACAGAGGCCAGAGGAUGGAUUACAAUUUUAUGUUUCUUGAUUUUAUCUUGAGGUGAUUAAAAUGAGUAGCAGUGUUGACAUUUGUUUUAAAAGAGCUGCAUCCCCCAGGCCUGUUGAGACCUUCGAAGCUGUUGGCUUCUGCCCUGCUUUUUGCUGUGCAGCCAUCCUUUUGGAGUUCUUAAGCUCUGUAGUUGUCCUGCCUAUUCCACUCCUAGAAGAGACCAUCCCUCAUCUCCCUUUUGAAAUCUGUCAGCAACCCUCAUUUAUGUUACCUGCAACUCCUGCCAACAACUUUUUUUCUUCCAGGCUUGUUAUUUGCCGGGACCCUGAAGUUAUUUUUACUUACUGUAAUUUUGUGCUUCUGAUGUACAGGCUCUGCCAGGCUAGAGCUCCCUGUUAGUCACAUGCAUAGGGCUGUGGCAUUUCCAUUUCCUAGCCUUCUUUGUGCUGCUUGCUUUUCUUCUGUUGUAUUUCAUGUCAGGCCUGUGUUUUCCAGAAAGAGCGUGGGAUCCUUGAGUCAUAGAUGUACAGCUAACCAUAGAAAUAUGAUUUUGAUUGAAAUAAGCUUAAACACAUUUUCUCUUACUUUUCUCUCCCUUUUAAAUAAGUGAUUGUGUUAGGCUUCAUCUAUAGGUGAAGAUGGACAGAUGUUCCUGUCCAUGAAGAGUUCAUUAGAUUGAACUCUAUGUUCUGUGUUUAGCAUUUUAAAAAUUAAAAGGANNNNNNNNNNNNNNNNNNNNNNNNNNNNNNNNNNNNNNNNNNNNNNNNNNNNNNNNNNNNNNNNNNNNNNNNNNNNNNNNNNNNNNNNNNNNNNNNNNNNNNNNNNNNNNNNNUUUGUUGGUUCAGGCCCAAAGGCAAAGUCAUGGAUAGCAUAGAUACUUAGAAGAGAAAAUCUGCAGAUCAUACUAAAUGAGUGCAUUGUUUAGUCAGUAGGUUGGUCUAUUGAGGAGAAACUUGGUCUUUGAAGUUAGUCUUUUGUCAUCUGGUAACAACUAUUCACCUGUAAACCAGUUUUAUCUAUCAAGCUAAAGACUGGUGGUGUCUGGAUUUGACCUAAAGAUUAUAGAUUGCUAGCCUUACCUUAGGUUUUUUGAAAUACUACAGACACUUCAAAUUCUUAUUUCAGUAUUUGUCAAUAAAAGAAAUAUUACUGCACCCUCUGUCCUUACAUGUCUGCACUACCUCCCUCCUCUCUUCCCUCACUCCCUUCCUUUCUUCCUUCCUUUCAAGUAAGUUCUCACUUUGGAGCCCAGGCUGGCUCACAGCUCAGUCUGGUAGAGGCUGGCCUUGAACUUAGGGUCUUCCUGCUUUCCCUCCUUCGUAGUGCAAUAACAGUAACAGGCAGGUACUAGUAUGCUUGUCUUACAGUGCAGACCUUUUGUUUCUGUCAUAUGUCUGCAGUUAUAUCAGUAUGCUCUCUCCAGAUGCUCACCCUUCUUGCUCUCCAGUUCUGAGUCUGGCUGUUCUGCCUUUCUGUAGUGAGACCAGAGCGAAUUUUGAAAGUGCAGUGCUGCUCUGCCCCAGACUCUGUGCAAAAACACUCACUGAAUCAUAUUGUUUUACCCAGGUGUUCAGUUCAUGCCAGUGUAUUAUGUAUUUUUCUUGGAUUUUAAGUCAUAUAUUUGUUAAACAUUCUGCCAUCUGGAGCUGUGGUUAUCAAAAUAUUAGAACACCAUGGUUUUACUUGAGAGAGAAUUCCAUCAGGAAAAUGAAUGCCAGGAUACAGCAGAACUAGUAGAUAGAAGGUAAACGUUAAACAAAUCCCCUUGGAAAGAAGUACAGCAUUUUUUGCUUGUUUGUUUGUUUGUUUUAGGUUUUGUUUGUUUGUUUAGACAGGGUCUCACUAUGUAGCCCUGGCUGGCCUGGAACUACUAUGUACAUGGCUUCUACCUUCAAACUCACAGAGAUCCUGCUGUCUCUGCCCCCUAAGUGCUGGGAUGAAAGGCAUGCGCCAUGACACCCAGGUUCAGUUUUUCUUCUUACAACCCUGUAAAGCAGAAGUCUGUAAAGCUCAGCCUCAGCCAUCUAACAUAUGUGUCAUC
ensembl:processed_transcript